UAGUCCCAGUCCGUCCCUGACAAGAGGUAGAUAACAGAAUAUAACAUUAUUAUUGCACAAGUGGGUCCUGGAGGUGUACAGGUAAGAUGGUAGACUUGCAGCCAAUCAUGCUGCAGCGUAGCAGACUGAUGGAGGAGGAGAGGACGGCCUGGGUGAUGGAGGAGUGCACCAUCAGGGUCUUUGGCAGGUUGAGUUUGUUGCCGUGGUAACCAGGACAGAACGUGCUCCAAGUUUAAAGGACGAGAGAGGGAAAGUUUGUCUCUGUGUACUCUCGCCCAAUUGGCUCCAACCAAUCUGACCCAGAACCAUCAAGUGGUUCAGGUAAUGGAUGGUUGAUUGUUUCUCUGACAAAUUCAGAGUCUACACGACUGCAGAGACGUUUUCUCUCUCAUCAGCAGAUUU